rnacentral:rRNA from 1 species
CCUACGGGAGGCAGCAGUGAGGAAUAUUGGUCAAUGGGCGCGAGCCUGAACCAGCCAAGUAGCGUGAAGGAUGACUGCCCUACGGGUUGUAAACUUCUUUUAUAAAGGAAUAAAGUGAGGCACGUGUGCCUUUUUGUAUGUACCUUAUGAAUAAGGAUCGGCUAACUCCGUGCCAGCAGCCGCGGUAAUACGGAGGAUCCGAGCGUUAUCCGGAUUUAUUGGGUUUAAAGGGAGCGUAGGUGGGUUGUUAAGUCAGUGGUGAAAGUUUGCGGCUCAACCGUAAAAUUGCAGUUGAUACUGGCAGCCUUGAGUACAGUUGAGGUAGGCGGAAUGCGUGGUGUAGCGGUGAAAUGCUUAGAUAUCACGAAGAACUCCGAUUGCGAAGGCAGCUUACUAAACUGCCACUGACGUUGAUGCUCGAAAGUGUGGGUAUCGAACAGGAUUAGAUACCCGAGUAGUC